GGCAGUUUGGCUGCUGGAGGUGAGGCAGCAACAUUGUCUAGCUGGAGGGCUGCUGAGAUCAUCUGGAGGAAUGGAAAAUGCUUGAAUGGAAAAGGUUUAUCCCUUUGAAUGAAUAUCUACUGGUCAGCAGUGCAAGUGGACAUGACCAAGGAAACUACACCUGCAAAACAUCAUAUACUUACAAGGGGGAAAAAGCACAACAUUUCACAAGACAUCAGCCUGUUUGUUACAGGACAAUGUAUUUAGAGAAGCCAUGCUCAAUGCCCUUUCAUAGAGAAGGUAAGUUACAAGAUGCAUUUACAGGCAGAGAGGAUAAUGAAAGGACCAUUACAGCCACCAUGGGGAAUGAAAACUAAGUUGUACCACAUAUGA